rnacentral:rRNA from 1 species
AGUGAACGCUGGCGGUAGGCCUAACACAUGCAAGUCGAACGGCAGCACAGUAAGAGCUUGCUCUUACGGGUGGCGAGUGGCGGACGGGUGAGGCAUACAUCGGAAUCUACUUUUUCGUGGGGGAUAACGUAGGGAAACUUACGCUAAUACCGCAUACGACCUACGGGUGAAAGCAGGGGAUCUUCGGACCUUGCGCGAUUGAAUGAGCCGAUGUCGGAUUAGCUAGUUGGCGUGGUAAAGGCCCACCAAGGCGACGAUCCGUAGCUGGUCUGAGAGGAUGAUCAGCCACACUGGAACUGAGACACGGUCCAGACUCCUACGGGAGGCAGCAGUGGGGAAUAUUGGACAAUGGGCGCAAGCCUGAUCCAGCCAUACCGCGUGGGUGAAGAAGGCCUUCGGGUUGUAAAGCCCUUUUGUUGGGAAAGAAAAGCAGCAGGUUAAUACCCCGCUGUUCUGACGGUACCCAAAGAAUAAGCACCGGCUAACUUCGUG